GGGAUAACCGCGGGAAACCGUGGCUAAUACCGGAUGCUCCACCACGAUCGCAUGAUCGAGGUGGGAAAGCUCAGGCGGUACCGGAGGGCCUCGCGGCGUAUCAGCUAGUUGGUGAGGUAAUGGCUCACCAAGGCUUCGACGCGUAGCUGGAGUGAGAGCUCGAACAGCCACACUGGGACUGAGACACGGCCCAGACUCCUACGGGAGGCAGCAGUGGAGAAUCUUGCGCAAUGGGCGAAAGCCUGACGCAGCCACGCCGCGUGCGGGAAGAAGGCCUUCGGGUCGUAAACCGCUUUCAGGAGGGAAGAAGCGAAAGUGACGGUACCUCCAGAAGAAGCCCCGGCCAACUACGUGCCAGCAGCCGCGGUAAUACGUAGGGGGCAAGCGUUAUCUGGAAUUAUUGGGCGUAAAGCGCACGUAGGCGGCCAUGUAAGUCGGUUGUGAAAUCCCGGGGCUCAACCCCGGAACUGCAUCCGAUACUGCAUGGCUUGAGGAAGGUAGAGGAGAGUGGAAUUCCCGGUGUAGCGGUGGAAUGCGCAGAUAUCGGGAGGAACACCAGCGGCGAAGGCGGCUCUCUGGGCCUUUCCUGACGCUGAGGUGCGAAAGCGUGGGGAGCAAA
rnacentral:rRNA from 1 species